rnacentral:tRNA from 1 species
GUGUUUAUAGUAUAUUGAUUACACUUGCUUUUCACGCAAGAGACACAUUUAAAUGUUAAACACA